rnacentral:lncRNA from 1 species
GCUUUUUCCAUCAUAUGAGUGGAAAAUUCCUGAAUUAAGGUACAAUGUGACUGUGUGUGCAAAUAUGCAACUUUUAGAUGCUUUGUUUUAGAGCCUCAUUAAGAUGGUUAAUGGAGGGCUGCUGUGUCUGUAUAAACUUUAAAAGAGCUCCAAAUUAGAAUCAAUCUUUGUUCAAAUUACUGCUACUUAAUGAUCUAACAAUGGCAAGGAAUAGCUUUGCCGUCACUUGCUAACAAAACUGGUCAUUUUUUCUGAAUGUCCUACCAUUCAUUAUCUUCCAAUUUUAUACAUAUGUUUAGAUUCUUGGAUUAUUAUUUAAAACCAAUUUUGAUGCAGUGAGCAACAGUUCAAAUGUUUUUUA